AACUGGUCGAUCACCCAACAUUUAACACCGAAGUGGUUCCUCUGUAUCUAUCACUUGACACUCUAGAAUCGCAAACAUCGAGUGGGAAACCGGUUUCUAUAGCAAAGACGUACUCGAGUAUGGAUACCACCGUUUCAAAUCAGUCCUUCGUUCUGUAGUUUCCAGGCUCGUCCAGCUUUCAGGCAUGUCGAGGCAUUUCCAAAUAAUUUUGUACGUUCCAUCGUUUUUUCAAAUCACGUUGUAACAGAUAUACAUCUACAUAGUGUUCCACAGUGUUCUAGUCAUUUUACAGUGUAUUCCGUGACAGAAACGUUACUUAGAAUCUUAAAAUUAUCUUAGAAGCUUAGAAGCUUUGCUAUUCCAUUUACACCUUUGACGAGUACCCUUGAGAUUUCGUAUGUGCGUCCGAAGCUCUCAGCGGUGUUUUAUCGAAUCCUUUUUACGGCGGACGUGUGUGGUUUACUGUUUCUGGAGGGAGGCGAACUUUUCUUUUUUUUUUUUUUAUAGGCUUUUGACGUUCAAUCUGGAACUGAUACUCUGCACUGUCCGUUCGAGAACCCCGAAUUCGGAGCUUGCGAAGGUCCUUUAUCGUCCCAUCAGAGCCUUGACGUUUCCAGAGGAGAGCGCUCUUGGUCUGUUCCUCGCACUGGCAGUACCUUUGGAAGACCCUUACAAAUCAAUAUCUUUAGCGAACUUUUUCGAAGGUUCCUACAGUCUGCCAACCAACGUAUCUGAGGAAUAUUUCUGGGGGGAGGGCAGACAGACAAGGGAGAGAAGAAGCCUGGACAGGUCCACGGUUUAUCAGGUGUUGGAGAACAAAUUCAUCAGCUACGGAUAUCAGGGUCACGAGUGUCUGCUGAGGGCAAUUUGCGAAACUUCGGAGCAUUCCUUGAGACAUAACGGGCUCAUCGGUGACAUUUUGCAUGUGAUCUUCACACCGACGAGCUCGCGACACGAGGAACUGCCGCAGGACAUUCUUCAGGCAGAAGUGGUCGGACGUAAUAGAGGCUGCUCGAAGUACCAACCGCAAUGCCCCGUGGGACUCUUCGACUUGAUUGGAGUCCUCGGUUGAGAUCUGAAAAACAACCACCCUUAAUCUUGGUUCACCUCGUUGCAUUCUCCAGCGGGCGAGACAGAGGGACGAGAGCGAGAGAGCAGAGUGCUCGUAGGAGAAGCCAGAGCGAGAAGGACGAGCAACAACGAGAGAGACAGAGGGCCAGCACUCUGGGACCGAGAGAAAACCGACUUGCGUUUCACUUAGGAAAAAAAACACCUUAAUUGUUCUUUAUACGCUCGCGUCGCCGAGGCUUUCUGGCCGCAGCUUGGAAACUUCGUCCUAAUUCUUCUGUCGGGACGUAUUCUUCGGCUCCCCUAGCAAUCUCCGGGUUUCUCUUAACGUAGAACCAGAAUAAAUUUCGAUACUUACUGGUUUGUCACUGAGUGACGAAAGACGACAAUGGUUAAGAAACGAUCACAAAGCGAGGAGAAAGGAUAGUAUAUGCGUGAUAUGAAAUUGAGAGGGAAGGGAUAGGGAAUUGAAAUUUAAAUGAGACCUAAGAGAAAACUAAUCUGAAAGUUAAUUAAGAGAAAAUCAACUGAGGUGAGGUAUUCGAUCAAUAAAUAAAAAGAACGAAAUUAUUAGAACAGGAAUGAAUGAAGGAAUGUACAAAUAAAUGUAUGUCAAGAAGAAACUGAAUAAAAUAACUGAUGUGUUAAAUAUCACGUGUUUUCUUACCGUUAACCUGUACCUUCACUGAUGCGAGCAAUGUCUCUACCAGAAACUAGUGCACCGAAUAAAAUCUUACUAAAUAACCUGUACCGGUUUCGAUGCACCGCAAACCCGAUCGUCAAAUGUGGCGACGUUACCAGACUCCAGAAGACUUCCGUUCGGAGGUCCUGUUAGGGGAUCUUCCCCAGGGAUAGCCAGGAUGGUCAUGGUUCGCGAAAGCGGGGCCAAAGUUUGGUCGUUAGCAGAGAAAAAUGUUUGCACGGAUAAUACGUGGGCCCCGUCGGCCGCAGCCUGCGCUAACUCAAUUAUCUUCUCUAUGAGGCGCGCGUGUCCGGCGAUUUAUCUAAUUUAAAGUUUCGCUGGCUAACGGUGAGCAGAGUUCUCCGCGAGACAAUUAGGUAGGCGAUUUCGUCAUGGACCAACUUUGAUCGGAACACCGUGAAAAAUUCUCAUAGGCCAUAACUGACGCGGGGAAAACUAUGGGGACUGGGAAACUCCAGAUCUAAUCUUAAAAAAAAAAAAAAAAAAAAAAACAUAAGAGAGAGUUCGUUGAGCUUCCCGAAAGGAAAAUUUGGGAAAAUGAGGCGUUGUUCAAUGGCGUAACAGGCAUGCGAAGUUUCUUGAAAAUUAGAGAUAGUUAAUUGGAUGAUUGUUCCUUGUUAGGUGCAGGUCUAGUACGAGUCACUACUACUUUUCAGGUUUCCAACCACUUGAAAUUUAACUUGCAUUUGAUUCUGUGUUGGAAUAUAAAAGGAAUGAUAGUAAUCGUAGUAUUUAGUCAAAGAACGUUGUUCUAAAAUUUUCAGUUAAACUAUCACUGACCAGUAUGUCUGACCUAGUACGAGUCAAUACUACUUUCCAGGUUCCCAAUCACUAGAAAACUUACCUACAUUCGAUUUUGUGUUACAAUGAUAUAAAGGAACGACAGUAAUUGUAGUAUUUUUCCAAAGAACAGUAUAAUUAUAGUUCAACUGUCACUGACCAACAUGUCUGGCCAAGUACUGAUCGCUACUACUCGCAGAACUGAUUUCCCAAGCUCCCAUCUUCAAGUCUCGCCUAAAUUUAAUCCUCUAUCAUAAUCUAAAUUGUAAAUAGGGAAACAUUAUUCACACUAUUUUCCCAAAAAGAAUCCA